rnacentral:misc_RNA from 1 species
AAAGCGAGUUGUUCAAUGAGCAGGGUAACCUAUAUAUUUCUUUCCUGAUUUUUAAUUGUUUUCUUCUUGUUUGCUGAGAACACUAAUCAACUUCUUUUCCUGCUUGGAUCAAAUUAAAUUCUAGCAAUUGAACAAUUUCACCUGGUAACAGGGUUGUCAACUUUGUCACAAAGUUAGCUUGUGGAAAAUGUUUCCAUUUCUAGUAUUUUGCCAUAUAGAUUUUAGUGGCAGUCAAUUUCAUAAAUAACUAGAAGCUCUUGUACUUUUUAAUUAUUUUAACGGCGGGCAAUUUUAAUUAUUUUCCUAGUGUCCUUUUCUGGAUAUCUUUUUUCCAUUAAUUUUUGUGCUCUGGUUUUUCCAAGAGUUCCAAUGACAAAAUGUCAAUCAUUAUCCUUGUUUUCAUAACAAUGGCGCCGGUCGCCCUUGUGGUUCUGGUGCACUGACCUCCUAUUUUGUCUCUUCCUGCUUAUGGGAAUUUUGAACUCUAUUAAUAUUUUUGAACUUGUUAAGUCAAUUGGGUGGAAGAAUUUGGCCCACGCAAUUGGUUUUUUGAUAACUUUUGACCUCAUAUAGCAAAGUUAUUAAAGUGGCAAUAAAUAGUGCUGUAGUGUUCAACUAAAAAGGAAGCAUGAUAACUUUUUGAAUAUCUCUGCUUUAAAUCUUGUGUUGAAAUGUUUGUGUGUGUGUAAAUAGUUCUCUUUUAUAUAAGCAAAGAGCACUUUGGUGGUGGUAUAUUUGUCCACCAAAUGGCAUGGCUUUCUCUAAAAGGUUGUAUUAACUUUUUGCUGUUUUGCAAUUACGCUUUUUCAACUACAUAUUUUGGUUAUACAGCUGAAUCUUGCAUAGAUGAUGAUAUGUAUCUUUUAUUGCAGAUCAAGCUAUUCAUAGCUCCAU